GACAGAGGCCUCAAGCGUUAGGCGGAAUCACUGGGCUUAAAGCGUGUGUAGGCGGAUGCCUAAGUACCUUGUGAAAUCCCACGGCUCACCCGUGGAACUGCUGGGUAUACUGGGCGUCUUGGGCCAUUUAGGGGCAACUGGAACAAGCGGUGGAGCGGUGAAAUGUGUUGAUAUUGGAAGGAACACCGGAGGCGAAAGCGGUGUACUGGGGCUGGUCUGACGCUGAGGCACGAAAGCCAGGGGAGCGAACGGG
rnacentral:rRNA from 1 species